rnacentral:lncRNA from 10 species
GGCAGUCCUUGGCUGGCAGCAUCUUGACCUUGACAACCACGGUGCAGAAGAGCACCACCUUCUUAUGCAUCUUCACCUCCUCUGCUGUUGAAAACUUGUGCUCCUUCUUAUCAUCAUGUCAUUGAACACCUUUUUUUUUCUUUUUUCUUUUUUUUUUUUUGAGACUGAGUCUUGCUCUGCCAUCCAGGCUGGAGUGCAAUGGCACGCUCUUGGCUCACUGCAACCUCCACCUCCCAGGUUCAAGCACCUCCAGCCUCCUGAGUAGCUGGGAUUACAGGCAUGUGCCAUCAUGCCCGGCUAAUUUUUGUACUUUUAGUAGAGACGGGGUUUCACCAUAUUGGCCAGGCUCGUCUCGAACUCCUGACCUCAGGUGAUCCACCCACCUCAGCCUCCCAAAAUGCUAGGAUUACAGGCAUGAGCCACCACACCUGGCCUCACUGAGCACCUUGAUGAUGCCAUCAGAAAGCCACACCUGAUGCCGUGUUCCUGGAAGUAAGAAGGGGAUGGCACGGAGAGCCCCAGAAGAGGAGAAUUGCUGCAGCUGCUGCCGGGAUCCAACGGAACCAAAAAUUCUUAUGAUGGUGCUGGGUUGAAGCAUGAAAUUCAUAUGUAAGAAUGGUACCUUUUGCUCCAGCGUUGGAAC